CAGACGCCGGCUUGUGUAAUGUUUUGGUGACAGCAGUAGUUUCUGCUGUAUGUACGUUGUUGUGUGCUAUGCUUUGGUGGAGUUCGGUGAUUUCGUUUCGCUUUGCUUUGUUUUUAUUGCAACAUGUGUCCAUUUAAGACUAUAAUGAAAGAGUGUAUGAAGGAAUUCAGCAUCGGAAACAAAGGCCAGUUUUGUGGCAUUUGUUCAUCCGAAGAAGAAAUCGAUUACCUUUUUACCAGGCUCAAAUGUGUUGGGUAUUCUUAUUCGGUGAGGAGCAGCGCUUAUAACAGAUUAUCCUCCGACGCUACAACCAGUAAACCACGAUUCUUCUUCAGUCAGUCUCAAGGGGCUAUUCAAAUCCCAUUUUUUGGGUCACCAUUUUCGGUUGAAUAUGUAAGCUACAGGCAAUGUACACUUGGUCCAAUGUACUAUGAUAAAAACCAGAUUCCUAUUCCUAAUCACCUGGUUGACCAUAUCAUCCCAAAUAAAAAGCGAAAGUUGUUUAUGGAUACCAAGAAAAGUGACUGUCCUGCCACAUUUUUAGUAAAAUGUGUCAGAGUUUAUCCUGGCUAUUUAGUCCUGUCAGAGAAUGAUCGCAAGACAAAAAAAAUGGUUAUUGAUAGCUUGAAGAAGCAUUUGGAGUUACCCAAUAAACCAGAAAGCUUUCUUCGCUUGUAUGUGGUUGCUUCACCACCAGAGCACCACACACACAGUGCAGCACAUAUGAAAACAAGCGGAGAUCUGCAUCCUCGGCUAGCUUUGGAAAUACGGAACCAUGUCAAAAAUGGAACAACAUCAGUAAGAGAAAUAAAAUUGCUUCUUGAAAAGUUUGUUGAGACAAACUUCAGUGGGCCAGCUAGACCAGACCGUGUAAACACUGCAUUUUACCCCACAGACAAAACUAUUUAUAACCAUGUGUAUAGGACAAGAAAGAGAAUUUUUGGUGAAGAUUCAUUAGAGAUCCAGACUGAUAAGGCAUAUGGAUGUGACUCAAGCAGCAGGUGUACUGCACCAAUUAAUUCUGUAAGAAAUGGUGUACAGAAUACCAGCAGCAGUGAUGAAAGGAACAAAAAGCACACCAGUCCUGAAAAAUCAAGCCCUUGUUCAUCCCUGUCUCAAGAGGCAAGAGACAUAUGUAAAAAUAUUAUAGAUCUCACAUACAAUUGCAGUGAUGAAACAAUAAAAAAACUUGUAGAUGACCUUAGAAAUGUGCAGCGUAGUGUAGAAUUGUCAGACCAUGCAGGCAGUGACCUUCCUUUAACAGUGGCAACAAAUUUUAAAAUAGAGAAACAUAUUUGAACAGUGGUGAGUUGCACAGUGUUUACUUGUCCACAUUUGCAUUUCUGGAUAUGUACAUAUAGCUUAAUAUAUAAGUUUUGGUAAAAGUUUAUCGGGUCUAUUUUUCAAGAAGUAGUUAAAAUAUUAUUGUAGCCAUUCAUUUUUAAUAUUGGUCAUUGCUAGGAACUGGCACGAGGAAUCAAAUUUCACUGAAUAUGCUGAAACUGUUGUGUGUCUGAAGCAUCUAUGGUAACUCUGCUUCAGAGCAAAACCAGAUGUAGCUGUACAAUAAGAUAAGUAAAAAUGAAUCACACUGCAUGUAUUUUUCAAAAGAUAGUUCACCUAAACUAUAACAUGAGGGGUCUAGGGAAGUAUUGGCUAUGAAUGGAGAUAUUCAGUUUGAAAAGUUAAAAUCAAUAUUUCAUACAAAAGAUAUCGACAUUUUAUUAUUAACCCUUUGAUUGUGGCUGACUGCUACAGCAGUCCAAGAGUGCCAUGCCCUGGAUGCUGCUGACUGCCACAGCAUUUCACUGCUGCCAUGCCCAGGGUGCUGCCAACUGCUGUAGAAGUUCUGAGACAUUGAGUCGCCUGUUGUUUAGAUGUGCUUGAAUAAGACGCCUGUUUGUUUGCAGUGCUACUGGCAGACUCUCACCACACCUUAUCGUUUGCUCUAACUGCAACACGAUCGGUCUAAGGUGCUGCAGUCAAGGACUGUCAGUUCUACGAAUCCUCACCAGGAAUGAAAGCUCACAUGGUGGACCUGUGAAUCCUGAAGGGGCAGACAGAGCAACUCAACAAGUUUGUGGUGUGCAAAUUUGAUACGCCAAGUGGCCAUAGUGGAGCUGCAAUCAGUUGUUUUAGAAAAAUGGAGGAUGUAAAGGGGCGUGUACAAGUGGUAGGUGGUAUGCAGAGACAAAAUCGGCGAGCCAAGUGCAAAAAAAACUUUCGUCAAGUUUACAACAAAGUGCCCCCGUCGUUCAAGACUAUAAAGAAGUGGUGUGAUCAGUUUUUGGCUACUGGGAGUGUUGCGAAAGGGCAUGGUGGUGGUAAGCCUGGGAUCAGCGGACAUCAUGUGGAACAUGUGCGACAGUCAUUCGAACAAAGUCCACAGAAGUCAGUGCGACAGGCAGCACGAGAACUUCAUAUGAAACGUUCAACAGUGCACAAAGUGCUUCAUCAGCGAUUACGUUUGUACGCAUAUAAAGUGCAGGUUGUG